rnacentral:lncRNA from 10 species
CAGCUUUCUUCCUGAGAGGGUUCCUAACUUCUCUGAAGUCAAGUUGAGCGUCCACAUCUAAAGCCCCAGCCCACAGCUAGCACCAACUUGCCAGCCAUGUGAGUGAAUCAUCGUGGAAAUGAUAUCUGCCAGCCCUGGCCAAAAUGCCCCAGCUGAUGCCACAUAAAGCAAAAAUUAGCAGUUGCCACCAAGCCCUGCCUAAAUUGCAAAAUCGUUGAGAUGUUUCCCAAAAUGCCUCACAAAUAUUCUGGGAUGUCACCUUUUGCAAUGGAUCUGCAGGUUCCAUCGUGCCCUAGCUUUUUGCCUGAGGGGAGGCUCUGGCCAUGGGUCCCUUUUCAGGUCAGCAAGAGUGCCGUGCAGAGCAGGAGCCCCAUCCAAUGCUCUACAGGUAUACCAUCCAAUACUGUCCAAUAUUGUAGCCAUAUGUGACUAAUGAGCACUUGAAGUGUAGCUAGACUGAGAUGUGCUGGAAGCACACAAAACACAACUCAUUGUACAGGCUUAUACAGUACUAGUCUUCGAGAGAAUGUAAAAUAUCUCACUAAUAAUUUUAUAUUAAUUAUGUGUUGAAUUGAUAAAAUUUGGAUGUACUGGAUUAAAU